rnacentral:rRNA from 1 species
CAGUCCCGCGGUAACACGAAGGGUGCAAGCGUUACUCGGAAUUACUGGGCGUAAAGCGUGCGUAGGUGGUUGUUUAAGUCUGCUGUGAAAGCCCUGGGCUCAACCUGGGAAUUGCAGUGGAUACUGGGCAACUAGAGUAAGGUAGAGGAUAGUGGAAUUUCCGGUGUAGCAGUGAAAUGCGUAGAGAUCGGAAGGAACAUCUGUGGCGAAGGCGACUAUCUGGGCCAUUACUGACACUGAGGCACGAAAGCGUAGGGGGCAAACAGGAUUAGAGACCCCGGUAGUCCCUGUCUCUUAUACA